rnacentral:rRNA from 1 species
GGCGGCGUGCUUAAACAUGCAAGUCGAACGGUGAAGCCAGCUUGCUUGGUGGAUCAGUGGCGAACGGGUGAGUAACACGUGAGCAACCUGCCCUGGACUCUGGGAUAAGCGCUGGAAACGGCGUCUAAUACUGGAUACGAGACGUGAUCGCAUGGUCAAUGUCUGGAAAGAUUUUUCGGUCUGGGAUGGGCUCGCGGCCUAUCAGCUUGUUGGUGAGGUAAUGGCUCACCAAGGCGUCGACGGGUAGCCGGCCUGAGAGGGUGACCGGCCACACUGGGACUGAGACACGGCCCAGACUCCUACGGGAGGCAGCAGUGGGGAAUAUUGCACAAUGGGCGGAAGCCUGAUGCAGCAACGCCGCGUGAGGGAUGACGGCCUUCGGGUUGUAAACCUCUUUUAGCAGGGAAGAAGCGAGAGUGACGGUACCUGCAGAAAAAGCGCCGGCUAACUACGUGCCAGCAGCCCGUUAAAUA